rnacentral:rRNA from 1 species
CGUACACUCCUACGGGAGGCAGCAGUGGGGAAUUUUGGACAAUGGGCGAAAGCCUGAUCCAGCCAUGCCGCGUGCAGGAUGAAGGCCUUCGGGUUGUAAACUGCUUUUGUACGGAACGAAACGGCCUUUUCUAAUAAAGAGGGCUAAUGACGGUACCGUAAGAAUAAGCACCGGCUAACUACGUGCCAGCAGCCGCGGUAAUACGUAGGGUGCAAGCGUUAAUCGGAAUUACUGGGCGUAAAGCGUGCGCAGGCGGUUAUGUAAGACAGUUGUGAAAUCCCCGGGCUCAACCUGGGAACUGCAUCUGUGACUGCAUAGCUAGAGUACGGUAGAGGGGGAUGGAAUUCCGCGUGUAGCAGUGAAAUGCGUAGAUAUGCGGAGGAACACCGAUGGCGAAGGCAAUCCCCUGGACCUGUACUGACGCUCAUGCACGAAAGCGUGGGGAGCAAACAGGAUUAGAUACCCUAGUAGUCCCAUGA